UACGUAGGGGGCAAGCGUUUGUCCGGAUUUAUUGGGCGUAAAGAGCGUGUAGGCGGCCAAGCAGGUCCGCUGUGAAAACUCGAGGCUCAACCUCGAGACGUCGGUGGAAACCGUUUGGCUAGAGUCCGGAAGAGGAGAGUGGAAUUCCUGGUGUAGCGGUGAAAUGCGUAGAUAUCAGGAGGAACACCGGCGGUGUAGACGGCUCUCUGGACCGUAACUGACGCUGAGAUACGAAAGCGUGGGUAGCAAACAGG
rnacentral:rRNA from 1 species